GAUGAACGCUGGCGGCGUGCUUAACACAUGCAAGUCGAACGGACAGACGCUGAUCUUGCGGGGUGCUCGUGUGGCGAACGGGUGAGUAUCACGUGAGUAUCCCGUACUUGUCUUUGGGAUAACACUUGGAAACUGGGGCUAUUACCGGGUAGGAGCUCCUGAAGCAUGGUGGGGGAUGGAAAGUGUCGGCGGUUGGGGCUCGACUCGCGGCUUACGCGCUUGUUGGUGUGGUAGUGGCUUACAAAGGCUUUGACGGGUAGCCCGCCUGAGAGGGGGACCGGCGUCCAUGGGACUGAGAGACGGACCAGACUCCUACGGGCGGCAGCAGUGGGGAGUAUGGCACAAUGGGCGGAAGCCUGAUGCGACAACGCCGCGUGCGUGAUAACGGCCUUCUGGUUGUAAACCGCUGUCGCCUGAGACGAAGCGUGAGUGACGGUAAUGGGUAAAGAAGCACCGGCUAACUACGUG
rnacentral:rRNA from 1 species